CUCAUCUGUAAAAAUGGGGAUGAUAUGGGUACCAGUUUUAUAGGUUUAUUGUGAGAAUUGCAUGGGAUAAAAGAUUUCAAGCUCUUAGCAUAACGGCAAUACUAGGUAUCACUAUUAAUAAUGGUUCAUUGUUCAAAAGAAAAUUUUAAAUAAAAGAAAAUGUGAACCUUUGAAAGUAAUACAAUAAAAACUGAAGGAAAAGGAAAAAAAGACAGUCACGGAGACUGAUGGUGAGAAAUGGAAGCAAAUAGGGAUAAAGAGAAAAGAAAUGUACUUCUCUGUCUCUAGGCUGCUGUCAGAAUCUGCCUGGCUUCCGCCACCUCUGUUGGCCUCAGCUUUUCCUGCCUGGGCUCACACAGAGCUUCUCAGGCUUCAGCAGGCACAACCUGGAGAGCUUGUGACAGUCCACGUUGCUGGACCCAUGCCCCCAGAAAGUCUGAUUCAGUGGGUCUGGGGUGGCGCCCAAGAAUUUGCACUUCUACCAAUUCCAGGUGAUGCUGGUGAAACUGCACCAGGACGGCUCUCUGAGGACCACUGACAUAAGGCACGGCCCUCCCUGACCCCAGACCAACCCAGCAUUACCACAAGAAACGAUCACACCAGAUUCUGGAGAUAAGACAAGAAAUCAUUCAACAAUGACUUAUUGAACAAUAUUCUGUGGCUAGCACUGCUUCAGUGACCUGGUGACACAGCAGUACACAAAACAGAAAAACAAACUUUCUGCCUUACACUCCACUGGAGAGACACAGACAAUUAAUGAAUCAAAAAUGGCAGCUAUAGUAUGUUGGAUCAAGAGAAAAAAUGAAGUCAAGAAGCCUGGGUAGUUGCACUUCAAACAGAGGGGACGAGGAAGGCUUUGCUGUGUAAAAACUUGAAGGAGAAGAGGAAUCAAGCCACCAGGCUGUUAGGGAGUGAGAAUUCGGAACUUCAUCAAGCGCCUGUACCACUCUGUGGGCCAGAAUUUGAGAAGCACUGAAAUAAACAAUUUUGAUGAAUACAAUCAAUGUUUGUAAAAGGCCUGUGUUAUAGAGCCAUCCUAACU